ACAUGCGAUAAUCACAUGCAGAAUCCCUCAAGUAGAACCCGGCAGAGGAGAUCCCCUGUGGCCCAGCGGUUAAGGGUUCGGCAUUGUUGCUGCUGUGGUGUGGAUUCAAUUCCUGGCCAGGGAACUUCUACAUGCCACAGGCACAGCCAAAAGAAAAAAGAAAAAAAAAGAAAAACCUGGCGGAAACAAUAGUUAUUAUCAUUGUAAUAACAGCUGCUGUUAUUACAAGGUUGAAAUCUUCCAGAGCAGAUGUCUCAAUUUCAUUGUGUACACAGAUCACCUGGGCAUAUUGUGUGAUUCAGGAGGUCUGGGGUGGGAGAGCCCACAUUUCUAACAAGCUCCCAGGUGAUGCUGAUGCUGCUGGUCCCAGGCCCACACUUGGAAUAGCAAAGUCCGAGAAGGCAGGGCUCGUGUCUCGGAGAGCAACAGUUCUCGCAGAAUCUGGCAUGCUUUCCUGCACAGAGGAAGAGCACCCUCAUUUUAUAAAACGAGUGCAUCCCCGUGGUGGUGGUAGGAGUGAUGCUGUACACAGCCUUGCACUCACAAGAUCACACCACACACCCACCCCACACCAGCCAAUCUAAUGCUGCGUGGGACUGAGAUUUCCCAGGGGCCCAACUGCUGUGUUUCGGAAAUCAGAGCUCUGAGAUGGAACCGGCUGUGCACUAACCUUAUAGCCCUGAUUAAUUCCCUCCCUUUGUUUGCCUCAUUAUUGUGAUUAGGUUCUGCCCGUAACAUAGCAACGGCUAAUUGUAGGCUGGUUGCAGAGUGCAUAAUUCCUGCUAUUAAAAUUUUAUCGAGGCUUAAUUGUGCUCCUUUUGUGCAGCAGGGAAGCUUCAAAGUUUCAGAAAAGAGAGGAUGUGGUUAGUGGGAGCUGAUGAUUUUUUAAUCUCAGCAAGCUCUGUAAAGCCCUGCUCUGCAAUAUCAUUGACCUUGAGAUGGUUUCCCCUGGCCAGAAAGGAGCCCAUCAUUUAUUUAUUAACCCUCCAGAAGGUCUGCAAACAAUCCCCGGUGGCCAGGCAAAAAGCAUAUUGUGGGUCAAAUGCCAUUACAGAAAAGCCCCAAAGGGCAGACCGUCUGAAUAGUUUGGCCAUGUGGGCAUUUGGGUUGGAAAGCUGCAGUUUGCAUGCAGAAAUGGUGCCUUGUGCAGACAGGUGUGUCCCUCCACAGAUGCCACGUGGCCACUCAGAACCUUCCAAAAGCAGCGGCAGAAUCAAGAGACUUUGAAAGCAGUUUCCCAGGAAUUCAAGUGCCAUGCUGCCCCAACCUGUGUGUAGUGAGAGGUGGAAAGAGAUGACCCCAUCAGCAGGUAUUUCCAACAAAGUCGUUCCCAAGCAUCGGCAGGAGCUUGUCAGAGCUGCACACAUCCAGGCUCCUGCCCAAACUUACUGAUUCAGAAUGGGAGGCGGGCUGGCAAUCACUCCUCAGGCAGUGCCCAUGCUGAGCCUCUUUGGGAAUCACCUGCAGCCACAAGGGAUUUUGGAAAAUGUAAAAAAGGCAGCAAAACCAGGUGCAACCUGGGGUGGGGUCCCUUACUUUGCUAAGCUCAAAUUGGAACCACAAAGCCUAAUGGUGUGGGAUGGUUCCAAGGCAAUGCUGCUCAGCCUACAGUGUGCCUGCCUCACAACUACCUGGAAGGCUUGUUAUAACAGAUUGCUGGGCCCUGCAUCCUCAAGAGUCGGAUCCAUUUGGUCUGGGGGUCGGACCGGGGACUUUGCAUUUUUAACAAGCUUAUAGGUGAUGCUGGUGGUGAUGCUCUCAGGACCACACCUUGAGAACCACCGCCCUCAGGGAUUCUCCCAGUCUGUCUCCAAAUGUGUCUCUUUGAAAAGGAUUCAGUAGUGUUCCUUUGGAAACAACAUUACAGCCUGUUGUUUUACAUGAGGACUCUGUGCUUGUGUCUUGGACACCUAUUUAUAACCCAGAAACAGUGGUAUUUGUAAUCAAGCUUUGCCCUGAGAAGUUAUGAAGGAAGGAUUGACUCCUGGAUCCUGGAUUUCAACAUGUUGAAUCCAGAUGAAUCCACAGUUUCACCAUUAUUAAGUCAAGCAAGGCUUUUAAAAGGAGGUGGGGGUUUUGGCACUGCUCGCAAGAAAGGCCAGGAGUUAUUUGAUGAGCAGACCUCAAGCUGGGAAAGGCUUUAGAUAAGUUGUAAUAACAGCAUUAUGGUGAAUGAGUGGAAAAUAACAAUGUGUGCAUUUUAUAGAGGGGGAGAAAUGGGGGUGGGGAGUAAUGUUAAAAAAGAAAAUUCAGAGUAGGUUUAGAACAGGGGUUGCAACUCAAAAACCUCUGGAGGCCAGACAGAUAACAGAAAUGCGUGAGCAGACAAGGCACAUUGGAACCUGCUCUGAUUUGAAUAACAACAUGGAGAGGAGGAGAGGUGGUGAAUGGGCCCUUCUGAAAGAGGGGAGUCUCAACUUUGCUCUUGCCUCUGGUUGCCAGGGUAGAGUGUAGGCGCAGGAAUUGUUUGUUCUUUUGAAUUUCUAGGGAAGCUGGGAAUCUGAAUUCUUUUUUUUUUUUUACAGUGUCGUACUAAUUUUUGCUAUACAACAAAGUGACCCAAUCAUUAAUAUAUAUAUAUAUGUACAUUCUUUUUCUCAUAUUACCCCCCAGUCAUAUUUUAUCCCAAGAGAUUUGGACACAGUUCCCUGUGCUAUACAGUAGGACCUCACUGCUUAUCCAUUCUAAAUGUAAUAGUCUGUAUCUACUAACCCCAAACUCCCAAUUUAUCCCACUCUUCGCCCCCACCCCUGGCAACCACAAGUCUGUUCUGCACAUUUAUGAGUCUGUUUCUGUUCUGUAGAUAGGUUCAUCUGUGCCGUAUUUUAGAUUCCAGAUAUAAGUGAUAUCAUAUAGUAUUUGUCUUUCUCCUUCUGCCUUCACUUCAUAUGAGACUCUCUAGGUGCAUCCAUGUUGAUGCAAAUGGCCUUAUUUCAUUCUUUUUUAUGGCUGAGUAGUAUUCCACUGUGUAUAUGUACCACAUCUUCUUAAUCCAUUCAUCUGUUGACGGCCAUUUAGGUUGUUUCCAUGUUUUGGAUAUUGGGAAUAGUGCUGAUAUAAACAUAGGGGUGCAUGAAUUAUAGUUUUAUCCAGAUAUAUGCCCAGGAGUGGGAUUGCUGGGUGAUAUGGUAGUCCUAUAUUUAGUUUUCUGAGGAACCUCCAUGCUGUUUUCCAUAGUAGUUGUACAGUUUACAUUCCUACCAACAGUGAAGGAGGAUUGCCUUUUCUCCACAACCCUUAAGCAUUUGUUAUUUGUAGACUUACUAAUGAUGGCCAUUCUGACUGGUGUGAGGUGGUACCUCCUUGUAGUUUUGAGUUGCAUUUCUCUAAUAAUUAGUGAUGCUUAGCAUGUUUUCAUGUGCCUACUGGCCAUCUGUAUGUCUUCUUUAGAGAAAUGUCUAUUUAGGUCUUCUGCCCAAUUUUGAUUGGAUUGUUUUUUUGAUAUUGAGUUGUAUAAGCUUUUGCAUAUUUUAGAAAUUAAGCCCUUGUUGGUUGCAUCAUUUGCGACAAUUUUCUCCCAUUCCAUAGUCGGAUUCGUUAACCACUGCGCCAUGACGGGAACUCCUCUCCAGGUUUUUGCAGUUCCUUCUUGUCUUCUGUUUCUUUUCCCCACUGCCUUUUAAAAAAAUGUAUCUUUAUACUUGGAGAGAAACCUCUAUUCUGUCCUUUUCAACAAAUAUUAGCAAAUUAGAAGGAGAAGGUGACUUAAGUCUGGGGCUCCUCGGGGCUUCCAGUCAUUGGGUUGGGAUCUACCUGACCCAUCCAACUGCAGAAAGUCCUUGGCUGACUCUAAUCCUAAUAACCCUACUCUGGGCUCCAGGACACUCCUGCCAUGACUGGUCACCUAACCCCAUUAGUCCUUAGCUUCCCCAAUCAUUAAAUGAAGAAGCUUAUUUUGUGUUUUGUAGCACUGAUGAUGAACACACCAGAUAUAUGGAUAGAAGGCCUCAAAGGGGUGACACUGGUGACAGCACAUCUAGAGUGCUGAUUAGUUACCCAGGAAGGAUGCCGUAGCCUAAUGGACCCAACCCACAAAUAUGAGUGAGGAGCCACCAAUUUAAAGAAAACAGAAUUAUCGGGAGAGUUUGGUCAGCAUUUAAUUUAGCCCUGCCCUAAUGAUUUUAGGAAAUCAGG
rnacentral:lncRNA from 1 species